UUAAGCGACUAAGCGUACACGGUGGAUGCCCUGGCAGUCAGAGGCGAUGAAGGGCGUGCUAAUCUGCGAUAAGCGCCGGUAAGGUGAUAUGAACCGUUAUAACCGGCGAUACCCGAAUGGGGAAACCCAGUGUGACUCGUCACACUAUCAUUAACUGAAUCCAUAGGUUAAUGAGGCGAACCGGGGGAACUGAAACAUCUAAGUACCCCGAGGAAAAGAAAUCAACCGAGAUUCCCCCAGUAGCGGCGAGCGAACGGGGAGGAGCCCAGAGCCUGAAUCAGCAUGUGUGUUAGUGGAAGCGUCUGGAAAGGCGCGCGAUACAGGGUGACAGCCCCGUACACAAAAGCGCAUGUGCUGUGAGCUCGAUGAGUAGGGCGGGACACGUGGUAUCCUGUCUGAAUAUGGGGGGACCAUCCUCCAAGGCUAAAUACUCCUGACUGACCGAUAGUGAACCAGUACCGUGAGGGAAAGGCGAAAAGAACCCCGGCGAGGGGAGUGAAAAAGAACCUGAAACCGUGUACGUACAAGCAGUGGGAGCNNGUGACUGCGUACCUUUUGUAUAAUGGGUCAGCGACUUAUAUUCUGUAGCAAGGUUAACCGAAUAGGGGAGCCGGAGGGAAACCGAGUCUUAACCGGGCGUUAAGUUGCAGGGUAUAGACCCGAAACCCGGUGAUCUAGCCAUGGGCAGGUUGAAGGUUGGGUAACACUAACUGGAGGACCGAACCGACUAAUGUUGAAAAAUUAGCGGAUGACCUGUGGCUGGGGGUGAAAGGCCAAUCAAACCGGGAGAUAGCUGGUUCUCCCCGAAAGCUAUUUAGGUAGCGCCUCGUGAAUUCAUCUCCGGGGGUAGAGCACUGUUUCGGCUAGGGGGCCAUCCCGGCUUACCAACCCGAUGCAAACUGCGAAUACCGGAGAAUGUUAUCACGGGAGACACACGGCGGGUGCUAACGUCCGUCGUGAAGAGGGAAACAACCCAGACCGCCAGCUAAGGUCCCAAAGUCAUGGUUAAGUGGGAAACGAUGUGGGAAGGCCCAGACAGCCAGGAUGUUGGCUUAGAAGCAGCCAUCAUUUAAAGAAAGCGUAAUAGCUCACUGGUCGAGUCGGCCUGCGCGGAAGAUGUAACGGGGCUAAACCAUGCACCGAAGCUGCGGCAGCGAACGUAUCACUUAAAGCGAUUCAGCGGGUUACGAUUGACGGAGCGAAGCGACGUCAAAGCGUAUACAAAGUCGAGUCGGUUUAAGGAUACGUUCGUUGGGUAGGGGAGCGUUCUGUAAGCCUGCGAAGGUGUGUCGUGAGGGUUGCUGGAGGUAUCAGAAGUGCGAAUGCUGACAUAAGUAACGAUAAAGCGGGUGAAAAGCCCGCUCGCCGGAAGACCAAGGGUUCCUGUCCAACGUUAAUCGGGGCAGGGUGAGUCGACCCCUAAGGCGAGGCCGAAAGGCGUAGUCGAUGGGAAACGGGUUAAUAUUCCCGUACUUGGUGUUACUGCGAAGGGGGGACGGAGAAGGCUAUGUUGGCCGGGCGACGGUUGUCCCGGUUUAAGCGUGUAGGUGUGUGUUCCAGGUAAAUCCGGUUCACUUUAACACUGAGGCGUGAUGACGAGGCACUACGGUGCUGAAGCAACAAAUGCCCUGCUUCCAGGAAAAGCCUCUAAGCAUCAGGUAACAUCAAAUCGUACCCCAAACCGACACAGGUGGUCAGGUAGAGAAUACCAAGGCGCUUGAGAGAACUCGGGUGAAGGAACUAGGCAAAAUGGUGCCGUAACUUCGGGAGAAGGCACGCUGACACGUAGGUGAAGUGAUUUACUCAUGGAGCUGAAGUCAGUCGAAGAUACCAGCUGGCUGCAACUGUUUAUUAAAAACACAGCACUGUGCAAACACGAAAGUGGACGUAUACGGUGUGACGCCUGCCCGGUGCCGGAAGGUUAAUUGAUGGGGUCAGCGCAAGCGAAGCUCCUGAUCGAAGCCCCGGUAAACGGCGGCCGUAACUAUAACGGUCCUAAGGUAGCGAAAUUCCUUGUCGGGUAAGUUCCGACCUGCACGAAUGGCGUAAUGAUGGCCAGGCUGUCUCCACCCGAGACUCAGUGAAAUUGAACUCGCUGUGAAGAUGCAGUGUACCCGCGGCAAGACGGAAAGACCCCGUGAACCUUUACUAUAGCUUGACACUGAACAUUGAGCCUUGAUGUGUAGGAUAGGUGGGAGGCUUUGAAGCGUGGACGCCAGUCUGCGUGGAGCCGACCUUGAAAUACCACCCUUUAAUGUUUGAUGUUCUAACGUGGACCCGUAAUCCGGGUUGCGGACAGUGUCUGGUGGGUAGUUUGACUGGGGCGGUCUCCUCCUAAAGAGUAACGGAGGAGCACGAAGGUUGGCUAAUCCUGGUCGGACAUCAGGAGGUUAGUGCAAUGGCAUAAGCCAGCUUGACUGCGAGCGUGACGGCGCGAGCAGGUGCGAAAGCAGGUCAUAGUGAUCCGGUGGUUCUGAAUGGAAGGGCCAUCGCUCAACGGAUAAAAGGUACUCCGGGGAUAACAGGCUGAUACCGCCCAAGAGUUCAUAUCGACGGCGGUGUUUGGCACCUCGAUGUCGGCUCAUCACAUCCUGGGGCUGAAGUAGGUCCCAAGGGUAUGGCUGUUCGCCAUUUAAAGUGGUACGCGAGCUGGGUUUAGAACGUCGUGAGACAGUUCGGUCCCUAUCUGCCGUGGGCGCUGGAGAACUGAGGGGGGCUGCUCCUAGUACGAGAGGACCGGAGUGGACGCAUCACUGGUGUUCGGGUUGUCAUGCCAAUGGCACUGCCCGGUAGCUAAAUGCGGAAGAGAUAAGUGCUGAAAGCAUCUAAGCACGAAACUUGCCCCGAGAUGAGUUCUCCCUGAGACUUAGAGUCUCCUGAAGGAACGUUGAAGACGACGACGUUGAUAGGCCGGGUGUGUAAGCGCAGCGAUGCGUUGAGCUAACCGGUACUAAUGAACCGUGAGGCUUAACCUU
rnacentral:rRNA from 1 species